rnacentral:rRNA from 1 species
AGUGGCGAACGGGUGAGUAACACGUGGGCAAUCUGCCCUUCACUCUGGGACAAGCCCUGGAAACGGGGUCUAAUACCGGAUACGACCUCCGACCGCAUGGUCUGGUGGUGGAAAGCUCCGGCGGUGAAGGAUGAGCCCGCGGCCUAUCAGCUUGUUGGUGGGGUGAUGGCCUACCAAGGCGACGACGGGUAGCCGGCCUGAGAGGGCGACCGGCCACACUGGGACUGAGACACGGCCCAGACUCCUACGGGAGGCAGCAGUGGGGAAUAUUGCACAAUGGGCGAAAGCCUGAUGCAGCGACGCCGCGUGAGGGAUGACGGCCUUCGGGUUGUAAACCUCUUUCAGCAGGGAAGAAGCGAGAGUGACGGUACCUGCAGAAGAAGCGCCGGCUAACUACGUGCCAGCAGCCGCGGUAAUACGUAGGGCGCAAGCGUUGUCCGGAAUUAUUGGGCGUAAAGAGCUCGUAGGCGGCUUGUCACGUCGGAUGUGAAAGCCCGGGGCUUAACCCCGGGUCUGCAUUCGAUACGGGCAGGCUAGAGUUCGGUAGGGGAGAUCGGAAUUCCUGGUGUAGCGGUGAAAUGCGCAGAUAUCAGGAGGAACACCGGUGGCGAAGGCGGAUCUCUGGGCCGAUACUGACGCUGAGGAGCGAAAGCGUGGGGAGCGAACAGGAUUAGAUACCCUGGUAGUCCACGCCGUAAACGUUGGGAACUAGGUGUGGGCG